rnacentral:rRNA from 1 species
AUUGAACGCUGGCGGCAGGCCUAACACAUGCAAGUCGAGCGAGCGGCGGACGGGUGAGUAAUGUCUGGGAAACUGCCUGAUGGAGGGGGAUAACUACUGGAACCGGUAGCUAAUACCGCAUACCCUCAGAUGUGCCCAGAUGGGAGUAGCUAGUAGGUGGGGUAACGGCUCACCUAGGCGACGAUCCCUAGCUGGUCUGCGAGGUGGACCAGCCACACUGGAACUGAGACACGGUCCAGACUCCUAAGGUGGGCAGAAGUGGGGAAUAUUGCACAAUGGGCGAAAGCCUGAUGCAGCCAUGCCGCGUGUGGGAAGAAGGCCUGCGGGUUGUAAAGCACUUUCAGCGGGGAGGCGUUACCCGCAGAAGAAGCACCGGCUAACUCCGUGCCAGCAGCCGCGGUAAUUC